rnacentral:lncRNA from 1 species
GUGGGCACUUUACGGGAUGAGCACUGGGUGUUAUUCUAUAUGUUGGCAAAUUGAACACCCAUAAAAAAUAAAUUAAAAAAUAAAAAAUAAAAAAUAAAAUAAAAAAAUACGGGAUACCAGUUUUGAUUUAUUCCCUCUUAGCUCCAAAUUCACGAUUCUAGCUUUACCGGUUGAAAAAUGUUCUGGUUCCUUUAAAUGUUUUUUCCUGUGGCUUGCGUGACCGAGUUCUGCCUGCAGGGGGCGCCUAAAACACAGCAGGAAAGACUUGCUUCCUGGUUCUGGCAGGGCAGGCUCUUGAGGAGGCUCCUGGCUUGUCCAGCAGCUGGCUCCGCACCACAUACUGCUUCUCAGAGGACGGAUAGCUGCAGGGCAGUGUGUAGUAAUACAUCAGCGUCUUGUCCCAUGGCAACUCCCGGUGCACAGCACUCCCAGACCCCCCAGGGGGCGUAUUUCCAGGAACUCCCAGAGGGCACAUUCUAGAAAGUUCCACCUGAGAGGCGUUACUGCCGUUGUGUGAGGUGCUCGACGGGCUCCUGGAACAAGGAAAGAUGUCCGAUAAAGCAGAGGAGUUUGCUGUUGGGCCUGAAAAUCAAAUGAAACGUCGUGGAGAACCCAUUAGUCCUCCUCCAUCUAAGAGAAUGAUGAGCAUGGCGCUGCUGUCAAUGAAACAGGAAGGAGAGGGAGUAUCCUACCCUGGGGGCUCAGCCAUGUCAUUGGAAGAUGACCCCAAGGUCACAGGAAUGUCUGUGUCAGGAGAAAUGCCAGAUAAAUUGCAGAUACCAGUGGAAAUCAGUGCUGAAAUGAAACACCAAUUAAAGAAGGAAAUUCAACGUUUUGGACAAAAAUAUGAAAGAGUCUUCAAAUUGCUUGAAGGAGUGCAAGGACCUCUGGAAUUGCGGGAAAAAAUUUGUUGUAUUUUCCGUCAAGGGAACAGCAAGGUGGGUAUAGAGAGAAACUCUAUAGCACAUUGGGCCCAGUGCAGUGCUGGGCAUGUGGUGGGAUCAGGCCCUGCCUGGCAUUUCUCAAACCCUGGUCAUUAUCAUUCAGAGUUCAUGUUGUCUCUAGUUGUUUAGAUUGAUAUUCUCUGAGUCUCAUUCUUCCAAGUUCAAGGAGACUUCUGUUCAUACUGGAGUUUGAGGUAGGUGUUGACUGUGAACUGACAUUCUUUGUUUACGGAUUCAUCCCUUACCAUGAUGGUCCAUUUUCUAUUCCCAUGUAUAUUGUAAGCUCCCCUUUCUCUCCCCCACAGAGCUUCCCACAUUGUGGGUUCUUUGGGUGUCUUUUGGUUAAUGACUUAUUUCUUUAUUUUCAGAUUUAAAAGGCAAGACUUAAUAAGGCACCUGGAGAAGGUACUAGAAAAAUUAGAAUCUGACUACUUCCUCAACAAAGACAAAUUAUACCCCAAACUUAUAAUUCUGUUAUCAAAAUUAUCAGUGAGUAACCAGAACCAGUUUGCUGUCCUAGAAUGGAACCGGAUAUUGUUGAUGCUUUCUAGCACAUGUUAGUUAAUAAAAUUAUCUUCUUGAGAUUAAGAAAAGGCA